GAUGCAAAUGAUGGGAAUUGCGAUCAAAGCAUGAAAUUAUCUGAUUACAAUUUUUUUAAACACUGAUGCAUC
ensembl:snoRNA SNORD4B small nucleolar RNA, C/D box 4B